UCCAGACUCCUACGGGAGGCAGCAGUGGGGAAUAUUGCACAAUGGGCGCAAGCCUGAUGCAGCCAUGCCGCGUGUAUGAAGAAGGCCUUCGGGUUGUAAAGUACUUUCAGCGGGGAGGAAGGCGAUAAGGUUAAUAACCUUGUCGAUUGACGUUACCCGCAGAAGAAGCACCGGCUAACUCCGUGCCAGCAGCCGCGGUAAUACGGAGGGUGCAAGCGUUAAUCGGAAUUACUGGGCGUAAAGCGCACACAGGCGGUCUGGCAAGUCGGAGGUGAAAUCCCCGGGCUCAACCUGGGAACUGCAUUCGAAACUGGCAGGCUUGAGUCUCGUAGAGGGGGGUAGAAUUCCAGGUGGAGCGGUGAAAUGCGUAGAGAUCUGGAGGAAUACCGGUGGCGAAGGCGGCCCCCUGGACGAAGACUGACGCUCAGGUGCGAAAGCGUGGGGAGCAAACAGGAUUAGAUACCCUCGUAUC
rnacentral:rRNA from 1 species